AAUCAACGCUGGCGGCGUGCCUCAGACAUGCAAGUCGAACGCGAAAGUCCCCUUCGGGGGACAAGUAGAGUGGCGCACGGGUGAGUAACACGUAGGUAAUCCACCUUCGGAUGGGGAAUAACAACCGGAAACGGUUGCUAAUACCGCAUAAUGCAGCGGCACCUAAUGGUGACAGUUGUUAAAGCGGGGGAUCGAAAGACCUCGCGUCUGAAGAGGAGCCUGCGGCGGAUUAGCAGUUGGUAAGGUAACGGCUUACCAAGGCGACGAUCCGUAGCCGGCCUGAGAGGGCGGUCGGCCACACUGACACUGACAUACGGGUCAGACUCCUACGGGAGGCAGCAGUCGGGAAUUUUGGGCAAUGGCGAAAGCCUGACCCAGCAACGCCGCGUGAAGGAUGAAAUCCCUC
rnacentral:rRNA from 1 species